rnacentral:snoRNA from 1 species
UGCAAAUGAUGUUUUUUCUCACGAUGGUCUUCCAAGCCCCCUGGGUUCUGACGACAAUGCCUAAUGGCAAUACUGAUGUAGUCUA